GAGAGAGAGAAAGCACGAGAGCAGAGGAGAGAAAGAAGAGACCCACGCCAGCCACCGCCGCUUCUGCAGCUCGAAACCCCGUUGCCGCCGCCGGAGUGUGCACUACUGGUAAGGGUUUUAAGCUUGGCUUCUAUUCUUUUGGAUUCUGGGAACCUUUAUCAUCACUGCAUGUUUAUUUCAGCUAUCCGCCGCCGUUGCUUAUUGUUCUGAACUGUUGCAUCGUCGUUGCCGCCGUUCGGGUCACUGGGAACGUGGCAGUGAUCAUUGGGAACGUGGCAGUGAUCACUAGAACCACCAUCGGAGUUACCGUUAUUUCAGUUCAGCCGUUCGUCCUUGUUUGGGUGCUGCAUAGUCACCGGAGCUGCUGUUGCUCUGUUUUCUCGAUUAUUCAUAAGCCCAGUAAGUCGUUCCUUGUUCCAAACUCUUUUAGUUGCUGUUCUAUUAUAGACUAUUGAGUUUUACGUGA